CAGCUCACAGACCAGAGGGAAGUCACACCAGGACAACAUUAAGUAUGUAGCGUGUGAUUCCCUUGUGUUUUCAGUCUACACCUGUACAGUGAAACGGCUCUUUGUCCUUUCAGCAGACAGUGAUGGCAGCAGCAGCGUUCAGGAGCAGAGGACUGGCUGGUGUCAGAAACAGCAACGUUUUAAUCCUCAUCUUUCUGCUGUCCCUGGUUUAUGUCACAAAUUCACUGACGAAAGCAGAAUACAAGAAGAAACAAGCAAGUGAACUUGAUGAAGAACUACAGUUUCUUCAAUCUUUGGAAGAACUAAUAAAGACAUCGUCAUUUUUUGAGGAUUUUCCUGCAAUGAUGGACUUAGUAAAUAGUUGGAGACGCUUUAUUGAGAGAACCAGCAUCCCAAUAGGUGGAGAGGAAGAAGAAAAAUGGUGAAAAUGGGGAAACAAAAGUGGAAAACAUGAAAAUCAUCCUAAAAGUCAAUGGAAUAAACUUUAAAACUUUCUGUAUAAUGUCUUUAAAAUAAAUAAUAAUAUGAAACAAAUAAUAAGAAUAAGAAUUAUUAAAUAUGAAAGGACUGAGUGGUUUUCUGUAAGAGAAAUGACAGCCAUAUGUUAUCUAUGCCGUUCUCAUUGGGAAGCAGCCAUUUUUGCAGUUUGCAUAUUAGACUGGUAAUCUAGGUGGUAUUAAACUCAAACUUAGAAAAAAGUACUUUUUACUAACUUGUGUUAAAAAAACAAAAUAGAAACUUGUAUUCACAUAUUGUUAUCUUACUGUGCUCCCUUUUAUUUGUGUCAUGGAUCGUCUGUUAUUUUCCCCCUUCUAUUAAACUUCUAAUUCUGAACAACAACAAUGAGGGCUAGCCCUAAAUAAUUGUCCCAGUUGAAAUAAAUUAUAUCAUUGCUCUGUGUGUACUUUUUUUUUUUUUGCUCUUUCCUCAUCUUCUAUCAUUCGAAUGCAUAUAGCAGACAUACUUUAUGAAAGCAUACUAUAUAUUAUUUUCUUUCUUCCCUUAAACUGAAAGAUUUAGAAGUAUGUAACUAGUAUAGCAAGUUGAGAGUUACUGUACCAAAAGAAAACAAAUAUAAGUAGGCACCACACAGUUCUCCCUGUCUGCUUACAGAAACAUGAUACUAACAAGAUAGUAAUCAUUGAAACAUUCCAAAACUUGUCAGAUCUGCUUUUUCUAUGUAUUACUGCUAUAACUGUGCAAUUGUUUUUAUGUGUAUCAUACUCGGUAUUUGUUAUGUAGUACCGAUUACCAAUAUAUUCAUGCAUACAAAGAUGUUGGUUUCAAAUGGUGAUUUGAUAAAAAUCUGUUAUGUGCAUCAAACCCAUUUGUCUAAAAGUAACAGUGGAAAAUGACCAGCUGUUGAUAAAG